rnacentral:rRNA from 1 species
CAGGCGCGCAAAUUACCCAAUCCUGACACAGGGAGGUAGUGACAAUAUAUAACGAUACAGGGCCUUUGGUCUUGUAAUUGGAAUGAGUACAAUGUAAAUACCUUAACGAGGAACAAUUGGAGGGCAAGUCUGGUGCCAGCAGCCGCGGUAAUUCCAGCUCCAAUAGCGUAUAUUAAAGUUGUUGCAGUUAAAAAGCUCGUAGUUGAACUUUGGGCCUGGGCGGACGGUCUACCUAUGGUAAGCACUGUUGCGGCCGGGUCUUUCCUUCUGGCUAGCCCUCGGGCGAACCAGGACGAUUACUUUGAGGAAAUUAGAGUGUUCAAAGCAGGCCUUUGCUCGGAUAUAUUAGCAUGGAAUAAUAGAAUAGGACGCAUGGUUCUAUUUUGUUGGUUUCUAGGACCAUCGUAAUGAUUAAUAGGGACGGUCGGGGGCAUCAGUAUUCAGUCGUCAGAGGUGAAAUUCUUGGAUUGACUGAAGACUAACUACUGCGAAAGCAUUUGCCAAGGACGUUUUCAUUAAUCAAGAACGAAAGUUAGGGGAUCGAAGAUGAUCAGAUACCGUCGUAGUCUUAACCAUAAACUAUGCCGACUAGGGAUCGGGUGGUGCUACUUUGCCCACUCGGCACCUUACGAGAAAUCAAAGUUUUUGGGUUCUGGGGGGAGUAUGGUCGCAAGGCUGAAACUUAAAGGAAUUGACGGAAGGGCACCACCAGGAGUGGAGCCUGCGGCUUAAUUUGACUCACACGGGAAACUCACCAGGUCCAGACG